rnacentral:rRNA from 1 species
ACUUCGGUUCUAGCGGCGGACGGGUUAGUAACGCGUGGGAACGUACCCUUUUCUACGGAAUAGCCUCGGGAAACUGAGAGUAAUACCGUAUACGCCCUUUGGGGGAAAGAUUUAUCGGAGAAGGAUCGGCCCGCGUUAGAUUAGAUAGUUGGUGGGGUAAUGGCCUACCAAGUCUACGAUCUAUAGCUGGUUUGAGAGGAUGAUCAGCAACACUGGGACUGAGACACGGCCCAGACUCCUACGGGAGGCAGCAGUGGGGAAUCUUAGACAAUGGGCGCAAGCCUGAUCUAGCCAUGCCGCGUGAGUGAAGAAGGCCUUAGGGUCGUAAAGCUCUUUCGCCUGUGAAGAUAAUGACUGUAGCAGGUAAAGAAACCCCGGCUAACUCCGUGCCAGCAGCCGCGGUAAUACGGAGGGGGUUAGCGUUGUUCGGAAUUACUGGGCGUAAAGCGCGCGUAGGCGGACAUUUAAGUCAGAGGUGAAAUCCCAGGGCUCAACCCUGGAACUGCCUUUGAUACUGGGUGUCUUGAGUUCGAGAGAGGUGAGUGGAAUUCCGAGUGUAGAGGUGAAAUUCGUAGAUAUUCGGAGGAACACCAGUGGCGAAGGCGGCUCACUGGCUCGAUACUGACGCUGAGGUGCGAAAGUGUGGGGAGCAAACAGGAUUAGAUACCCUGGUAGUCCACACCGUAAACG